rnacentral:rRNA from 1 species
CCUUACCUACUUUUGACAUCCACGGAAUCUAGCAGAGAUGCUUUAGUGCCUUCGGGAACCGUGAGACAGGGGCGGCAUGGCUGUCGUCAGCUUGUGUUUGUGAAAUGUUGGGUUAAGUCCCGCAACGAGCGCAACCCUUUCCUUUUUUUGCCAGCGGUUCGGCCGGGAACUCAAAGGAGACUGCCGGUGAUAAACCGGAGGAAGGUGGGGAUGACGUCAAGUCAUCAUGGCCCUUACGAGUAGGGCUACACACGUGCUACAAUGGUAUAUACAAAGAGUAGCGACCUCGCGAGAGCAAGCUAACCUCAUAAAGUAUAUCGUAGUCCGGAUUGGAGUCUGCAACUCGCACUCCAUGAAGUCGGAAUCGCUAGUAAU